rnacentral:tRNA from 1 species
GUGCCCGUAGCUCAAUGGAUAGAGUGGCGCCCUCCGAAGGCGUAGAUGCGAGUUCGAUCCUCGCCGGGCAUACCA